UUUUUGACUAAUCGGUUAAAAAAGUGUUGCGUCAUGAAACAAGAGACAUCCUCUGUUAUUCGUUUGGAAUUAGGGCGUCUGUAGGCGCUGAUUCUGAUUGGAAGUAUGUUACGCAGUGAAUUAAAUUUUGUUGCUUUGUCUCAAUCUCCUCCCAGUCCUAUCCAUUAAGAGGAGAGAAUGCAUGCAGCCAAAUUGUUCAGUAAUGUAACAUGUGAAUACUCUUCUCAAGUGAGCAACAAAGGUGGGAGUGAGUGCUCUCCAAAUGUACGAGAAACUUGAAACUGGAGGUCUCUGUCACCUUGGUUCUUUGUUAUACCAUAUAUGGAAUGCUUUUUGAUUCAAGCGGCACAACUAGAAUAACAGCCAUAAAAACUCUACAAAUGCACAAACCAGGGUGAAGCUAUCGGUGGCCUUUCAAGUUCAGCAAGAGCCACCCCGUCUUUAACAAAUCCAAAGUAAAAGAAAAUCUGCUUGUUAUAGUAGCCAUUGAAUUAAACCCAACCAACCACCACCCAGAUGAAAAUAAUCGUAGAGUACAGAUAUCUUAUAAACAACACAAGUAGGCUACCUAAUUCCUGAUAUUUUGUAAACUAGUAUCACGUUAUUAUUUCAUUUUAGUCUAGAAGGAAUUGAUGUUGUCAUAACCAAGAUGCUUAUUUACUAGUAUUUUUUUAAAGUUUUAA